GACGAACGCUGGCGGCGUGCUUAACACAUGCAAGUCGAACGGAAAGGCCCAGCUUGCUGGGUGCUCGAGUGGCGAACGGGUGAGUAACACGUGGGUGAUCUGCCUCUAACUUCGGGAUAAGCUUGGGAAACUGGGUCUAAUACCGGAUAGGACAAUCGUUUAGUGUCGGUUGUGGAAAGUUUUUUCGGUUAGGGAUGAGCCCGCGGCCUAUCAGCUUGUUGGUGGGGUAAUGGCCUACCAAGGCGUCGACGGGUAGCCGGCCUGAGAGGGUGGACGGCCACAUUGGGACUGAGAUACGGCCCAGACUCCUACGGGAGGCAGAAGUGGGGAAUAUUGCACAAUGGGCGCAAGCCUGAUGCAGCGACGCCGCGUGGGGGAUGAAUGCCUUCGGGUUGUAAACCUCUUUCGACAGGGACGAAGCUUUGGUGACGGUACCUGUAGAAGAAGCACCGGCUAACUACGUG
rnacentral:rRNA from 1 species